GACGAACGCUGGCGGCGUGCUUAACACAUGCAAGUCGAACGAUGAACUUGGAGCUUGCUCUGGGGGAUUAGUGGCGAACGGGUGAGUAACACGUGAGUAACCUGCCCUGGACUCUGGGAUAACUUCGAGAAAUCGGAGCUAAUACCGGAUAGGACCUUGCACCGCAUGGUGUGGGGUGGAAAGUUUUUCGGUUUGGGAUGGACUCGCGGCCUAUCAGGUUGUUGGUGAGGUAAUGGCUCACCAAGGCGGCGACGGGUGGCCGGCCUGAGAGGGUGGCCGUCCACACUGUGACUGAGACACGGCCCAGACUCCUACGGGAGGCAGAAGUGGGGAAUAUUGCACAAGGGGCGCAAGCCUGAUGCAGCAACGCCGCGUGCGGGAUGACGGCCUUCGGGUUGUAAACCGCUUUUAGUAGGGAAGAAGCCUUCGGGUGACGGUACCUGCAGAAAAAGGACCGGCUAACUACGUGCCAGCAGCCGCCGUAACAC
rnacentral:rRNA from 1 species